rnacentral:rRNA from 1 species
UACGAAGGGGGCUAGCGUUGCUCGGAAUGACUGGGCGUAAAGGGCGCGUAGGCGGUUCGUACAGUCAGACGUGAAAUUCCCGGGCUCAACCUGGGGACUGCGUUUGAUACGUGCGGGCUUGAGUUCGGAAGAGGGUCGUGGAAUUCCCAGUGUAGAGGUGAAAUUCGUAGAUAUUGGGAAGAACACCAGUGGCGAAGGCGACUAACUGGACAUGUAUUGACGCUGAGGUGCGAAAGCGUGGGGAGCAAACAGG